UGAAACGUGUUAAUGAAAUCUAUCCACCUUGAUUGAAUUUUUUUCGUUUUACCCUUUCAUUUUCAUAUAUUCCCAAAUUAUCCUUUUCAAAUAUCAAAAAAGAAAAAUCAAGCCCUAAACGGAGCAUGACGAAGAAGGAGAGGAAGAGAAAGUGAGAAAGAAUGGCAAAACAGCUUGGGAUGACCAAAGAGUUCUUCAGGAGGAGGGAUGGAAGUCAAUAAUCAUGGUUUAGAUGGUUUUUUCCUUGUCGAAUCUAAGAUAAAAGUGUAGGAAUUAAAGCGUGGAAUUGAAAGCCUAUCUAGAAAUUUGCAGGUGAUGUAUGCUUUAUCGCUGGACAAGUCAAAUCUGGCUGUUUCAAAAUAUCAAGCUGAGUGCAUGGAUGCUAAAGGAUUAGCAGAACCAAACCAUCAAACUCCAGAGGGUUGUCAAUGUCUCUCUUGAGUACCCUUUCAAAGAUCUUUGGAUUGCUGAAAACAUUAUAUUACAAGGCUUGAGCAAUAAUUCUCACCUUUGUUUUUUAAGAAUCACAAUGAUAACUAGUGUACCUGCUGGAAGUGGCAAACUGAACUAUGGAGUGAGUGACUUCAAGGAAAAAUGUUGUAGAAGAUCUUCAUGGAUCACCAGCAUGACUUUUAGCAUAUGCAUACAAAAAGAAAUUUCAUGAUAUGCUAAGGAUCUUAGUACUAAAAACAGUUUACAUGUACUAAAUCUUACUAGCUGGGGUUGAAGAAUUUUGAAGGUCUUUUAUCGACUGCAGUAAACUUUUGUGAGUGGAUUAUUUAAAUUCUGCAUAGAGCAGUUCAACUUAAAGAAGCUCACAUAUGAAGAAAGGAACCAGUUAAUUGAAGGAUUGACUAAAUUUGGGCAGUGGCAUAAAUUUUCAAAGAUAAUGCACAUGCCGUAUAGAGAAACCUGGAUUUUCUUGCGUCCAUGCAAUUGCAACAUAUAAAUGUCAGUGGUAUGCUCUAGAUGAUGUCAUAAACCACCUUGCACUUCCACCUAAGAUUGACAAACAGUCAGGAAGACCACGAAAGAAGAGGAUUCAAUCUUAAGGAGAGGAGCGUCAUCAAUAUAGAUGUGGGAGGUGCAAACAGAUUGGUCACAGCAGCCGAUCAUGCUUAGCCGCCAUACCUCUUGAUAGCACUGCCAACCAACAUGACCAUUCAACUAAAGGACCAUAAAUCACUCUACGCUAUAUUAAGACAAUGGGGGCAUGUUAUGUGGUAUCCGUGUGUUAUGCAAUGUAGUAAGGAAUGCAAUUAGUAGCUCAACCGCGUAACUUGUGUUUUGGCAUAAUAGACGUUGGUUUUAUGUGUUGUUUUGUUGGAAAAGUCAUCUGUCGUAUUGUGUUGAUAAAAUAUCAAUGUCCCUAAACAGAAAAAACUCCAAAAGUUUGGAAAAAGUUCUCAAAUUGGCAAAAAUAUUUGG